UUGCACAAUGGGCGAAAGCCUGAUGCAGCAACGCCGCGUGAGCGAUGAAGGCCUUCGGGUCGUAAAGCUCUGUCCUCAAGGAAGAUAAUGACGGUACUUGAGGAGGAAGCCCCGGCUAACUACGUGCCAGCAGCCGCGGUAAUACGUAGGGGGCUAGCGUUAUCCGGAAUUACUGGGCGUAAAGGGUGCGUAGGUGGUUUUUAAGUCAGAAGUGGAAGGCUACGGCUCAACCGUAGUAAGCUUUUGAAACUGAGAAACUUGAGUGCAGGAGAGGAGAGUAGAAUUCCUAGUGUAGCGGUGAAAUGCGUAGAUAUUAGGAGGAAUACCAGUUGCGAAGGCGGCUCUCUGGACUGUAACUGACACUGAGGCACGAAAGCGUGGGGAGCAAACAGGAUUAGAUACCCUGGUAGUCCACGCCGUAAACGAUGAGUACUAGGUGUCGGGGGUUACCCCCCUCGGUGCCGCAGCUAACGCAUUAAGUACUCCGCCUGGGAAGUACGCUCGCAAGAGUG
rnacentral:rRNA from 1 species